rnacentral:misc_RNA from 1 species
UACGUAGGUGGCAAGCGUUGUCCGGAAUUAUUGGGCGUAAAGCGCGCGCAGGCGGUCCUUUAAGUCAGAUGUGAAAGCACAAGGCUCAACCGUGGAGGGUCAUUGGUAACUGGAGGACUAGAGUGCAGAAGAGGAAAGUGGAAUUCCAUGUGUAGCGGUGAAAUGCGUAGAGAUGUGGAGGAACACCAGUGGCGAAGGAGACUUUCUGGUCUGUAACUGACGCUGAGGCGCGAAAGCGUGGGGAGCAAACAGG